rnacentral:rRNA from 1 species
UACGGAGGAGGCAAGCGUUAUCCGGAAUUAUUGGGCGUAAAGCGUCCGCAGGUGGCACCUCAAGUCUGCUGUCAAAGACCGGGGCUUAACCCCAGAAAGGCAGUGGAAACUGAAGUGCUAGAGUGCGGUAGGGGUAGAGGGAAUUCCCGGUGUAGCGGUGAAAUGCGUAGAGAUCGGGAAGAACAUCGGUGGCGAAAGCGCUCUGCUGGACUGCAACUGACACUCAGGGACGAAAGCUAGGGGAGCGAAAGGG